CAGACACCAGCACUGACACUGGCCGUGCUCAGAUCUGCCUCAGCCCUGAAGACACAACUGACAAAUAGAAGGGGGCCAUGCCCUGUUACAGCAGGUGCUCUCACUUUGUGGGUCCUUAUGUAACUGCGCAUUGUUAUUCAGGAUCGCCCAUUCUACAUUGUUUGAAGCUGCUGCGGUGUCUCCUAGUUAUUUGUUUCUGAUCUGAGAAGCAGGAGCAAGGAAUUCAGGGAGAGAUCCAGGAAGACAUCUGACUCUGUUAAGAGACGACAUUCACAGCGACAAGGGGAGCGAAGACACUUGCAGCAAAGCAAAAUGAAUUCACAACGAUUGCAUCAGAGCUGCAGGUGUGAGAGAGCCUAAGCCUGUCUCAGAGUGCAGGGGACAAGUGGAAAGGAAUGUGUAAGAAUGCCGGUGACUCAGUUAGAAGCAUGCUUCGAAGCUGUCCGUGUACUUGCCACCCAGAAGCAGAGCCUGGGAGCUACCGAAUUUCUCCAGAAUGCAGUUUACAUUCACCUUGACAAGUGAAUUAUGUCCUUUUACAAGUGGAGGAAUUGCUGCCGUUUCCCUGGAACUUACUCACCACUAGUGUAUAUGAUUUUCCUUUGCUAGGAUUCAGUAUAGCCUGCUAAAAAUUCUGGAGUCAGAUCUUGAAACCCUGAUGAAGAGGAUUAUUUAUUUUAUUUCUUUAUAUGAUAGUAUUUUACUUUCAAAAUUCAGAGUUUUCAGUUCAUUGAGGAAUUUUUUCGGGGGUUGGAGAAUCAACGUUUCUCUUACCAUCUUUGUGACCUGUUGCUAUAUGCCUCUCACCUGUCUUCUGUCACUUGUGAGGCGGUUCCAUUUGUGACCCUGUGCGGGUUGUUCAUGUUAUAAAAUAUAAAUUCUGUAAAACUACAGUCCCUUUUACUCCGAAGACAUUCCACAAGUACUACUUAAAUCUGGGUGUGGUUUUUAGAAGACAGAAUCAUUAGAACAUGUACUUGCAGGUUGCUAGUGCAAAAUCCCCAAAUCAAUAGUCUAGAUCAACAUCUAAAAUCUUUCUAAUCUACCUUGGAUUUGUAUGGAUAAGUGAAGCAGUUUGCUAAGAA